rnacentral:rRNA from 1 species
AACGAACGCUGGCGGCAGGCCUAACACAUGCAAGUCGAGCGCCCAGCAAUGGGAGCGGCAGACGGGUGAGUAACGCGUGGGUAUCUACCUAGUGGUGCGGAAUAGCCCAGGGAAACUUGGAGUAAUACCGCAUAAGCCCGAAAGGGGAAGAUUUAUCGCCAUUAGAUGAGCCCGCGUUGGAUUAGCUAGUUGGUGGGGUAACGGCCCACCAAGGCGACGAUCCAUAGCUGGUCUGAGAGGAUGAUCAGCCACACUGGGACUGAGACACGGCCCAGACUCCUACGGGAGGCAGCAGUGGGGAAUAUUGGACAAUGGGCGCAAGCCUGAUCCAGCCAUGCCGCGUGAGUGACGAAGGUCUUCGGAUUGUAAAGCUCUUUUGGCGGGGACGAUAAUGACGGUACCCGCAGAAUAA